rnacentral:rRNA from 1 species
GAUGAACGCUAGCUACAGGCUUAACACAUGCAAGUCGAGGGGUAACGAGAGGAAAGCUUGCUUUCCUUGUCGACGACCGGCGCACGGGUGAGUAACGCGUAUCCAACCUGCCCCCAACUAGGGAAUAACCUUGCGAAAGUAAGACUAAUACCCUAUAAUUUCCUCAGAUGUCAUCUGACGAGGAAUAAAGAUUUAUCGGUUGUGGAUGGGGAUGCGUCUGAUUAGCUUGUUGGCGGGGUAACGGCCCACCAAGGCAACGAUCAGUAGGGGUUCUGAGAGGAAGGGCCCCCACAUUGGAACUGAGACACGGUCCAAACUCCUACGGGAGGCAGCAGUGAGGAAUAUUGGUCAAUGGGCGGAGGCCUGAACCAGCCAAGUAGCGUGCAGGAUGACGGCCCUAUGGGUUGUAAACUGCUUUUAUACAGGAAUAAAGUUAGCCACGUGUGGUUAUUUGUAGGUACUGUAUGAAUAAGGACCGGCUAAUUCCGUGCCAGCCGCCGCAGUAA